UACGUAGGUGGCAAGCGUUAUCCGGAUUUAUUGGGUGUAAAGGGCGUGUAGGCGGGAAUGCAAGUCAGAUGUGAAAACUCAGGGCUCAACCCUGAGCCUGCAUUUGAAACUGUAUUUCUUGAGUGCUGGAGAGGCAAUCGGAAUUCCGUGUGUAGCGGUGAAAUGCGUAGAUAUACGGAGGAACACCAGUGGCGAAGGCGGAUUGCCGGACAGUAACUGACGCUGAGGCGCGAAAGCGUGGGGAGCAAACAGG
rnacentral:rRNA from 1 species